GACGAACGCUGGCGGCGUGCUUAACACAUGCAAGUCGAGCGGUAAGGCCCUUUCGGGGGUACACGAGCGGCGAACGGGUGAGUAACACGUGGGUGACCUGCCCUCAGCUCUGGGAUAAGCCCGGGAAACCGGGUCUAAUACCGGAUAUGACUCCAUGACGCAUGUUGUGGGGUGGAAAGCCUUGUGCGGCUGAGGAUGGGCCCGCGGCCUAUCAGCUUGUUGGUGGGGUGANGGCCUACCAAGGCGACGACGGGUAGCCGGCCUGAGAGGGCGACCGGCCACACUGGGACUGAGAC
rnacentral:rRNA from 1 species